CAUGUGGUUAGAAGUUUAUCUUGCUUCUCUGACUGUUCAUCUAAACAUAGACAUAGAAAGUGAGAUGCUAUUAAGCUACAGAUGGAUAAUACCUUAUACUGAAAUAAAUUAUUGAUAAGUGCUCAGAAGUUUAUCUUGUUUUUCUGACAUUUCAUCUAAAUGUAAACAUAAAAGGCGAGAUUCAAGUAAGCAUUAGAUUGAUAAUCCCUUGAGCUGAAAGAAAUUUUUGAUAGGUGCUCAGAAGUUUAUCUUGCUUCUUAAUGACCAGGAACCAUAGUUGUUUAUAAUUGCAAAUUGGAGGAACAAUUGAAAUUCUAUAUAUUUUAGAGGCAGUUGAUCAUGAAGUGGAAUCAGGGGUUGUUAUUGCACGAAGAACUUGAGAUAUAUCUGAAGCAGCUUCCAUGAAGGCAUGAACCAUGUUGGAGGUAUGAAGAAAUAAAAUCAUUGCUUCUAUUUUAUACUAGACAACCGUUGCAGCGGUGGGAGGCCGACGAAGAAAAACACAAACUUGUUAAUGGAAGAAAAUGCGAAAAUGCAAUAGUUGAGUUCUUUUAUUUAUUUUUAUUUUUCUGAAUUAUCUGAACGGCCGAGAUGCAUUCAUUUCCGUAAAUGUUCUCCACGGGUUUAAGUGUAGCAAAAAAAACAUGUAUGGUUGUUGACUAUAGACCUUCACGGUUACACGUGUGUAGUAUAAGGUCCAAGUGUCUCACAUACACCGUUAGUCUCACCACGAUCCAAGCAAAAUUGGGUUCAAUCUUUUCCAAUUUCAUCACUUAUUUUUAUUUUAUUUUUGUCUCCCUCGGUUUAUCUCUUCGCUUCGCAACCGUUAAUGAAUUUGAAGCAUGAAGGAAAUAUAUAAACCUACUCCGUCAUCUCAUCUCCUUCUUCUUCUCCCUUUUUGAUAAACAGUUUUCCCCUCUCUUAUUUUGAUAACCAAUUAUCCCUCUUAUGUUGACACUUCAAUCAAUGUUUGUUAACCCAUUUUCUGAUUAUAUCUUGAUAUGGGUGUUUUUGAUUGAUUUUGAUUCUUUGCUUGAUGACUAAUUACUAAUUAGAGAAGAAGAUUGAAUUAAGUCACUAUUUUAGGCUUAGUUUGAUCGUGGAAGUGGGGAAUAGAAGAAACAUGAAUAAUGUUAUAAUGGAAAUAAAGGAGCAGAAACUAUUACAAGGGUUUGAUGCAAAUGCAAGUAUCGGUAAUUACAGAGAAAGAGGAUAUGGAAGAUUAGAAGGUGAUCAGUGGGUCGCUUCACCAUGCGGCAGAUCCAGAGGAAAACGGAUGCGUUUCUACGCCCGCGAAUGAACCGGAUCUGGAAACCCGACCCGAGGCUCUGUCUUCUACGCCCGAAAUUCUGAAAUCUCUCUGCUACUGCAAUUUGUUUAGAAUCCGAAUCAUCUGAUUGAUCUAAUCAAUUUUUUCAAUGAGUUUGAACAUGAAAUCUGUUCGUUUGGUUAUAUAUGAAGUAUGUUUGUGAACAAUUUGCUUGAUUAAGUCGAUUUGAAUCUUGAUUUCACGAAAUUGUAUACUGAUUUUUUUUCUCUUGGGACAAACUUUGUGACGGGAAAAUUACACUCAAGUCAUCGUAUAGAAGGCCUCCUUAACAGUCGACCAAUAAGAUUUACACAUUUUAUCGAACUUCACAAGUGUGGUAACAAUUAAAUUUCCUGAAUUUGAAAAACUUUAUAAGUGUUACAAGUAUAACUCACUAUCUGUAAAGUAAGCAUUACAUGCUAAGCAAUUGGAAAAACUGUGAAUCAUUUGGUCUCCUAGCCUUAGUUUUGUUGGUGGAAGUAAAAACUAAUUUCGAAGUACUGUAAGCGUUUUGCCAUAGUCAAUUAGCAUAAGGAAAAAAAAAGCCUUUCAUUAUGUAAUUCAUGGAAACAUGUUUCAAUGCUUUAGCAGUUACGUAUAUUCGAGAUACUUAUACAACAACAGUCCAUGUGAACCCUAGCAUCGUUGCAUUCUUGAUAAUCCGCAUGUUAGUUCAGAGUUAACAACAACAAAAAAAAAAGGCUUACUAACGGAACCACAAUAUCAAUAUUCUUCAUGUUUUUCUAAAUAAUUUAUUUCUUUCCGUGAAUGACUGAAAAAGAGGACUAGGCACAGUUUCAUAAUGUGUUGGGAGUGUAUUUGGUGAAACUUGGUAUGCUGUGAACAUAGAGAAAUCAAGGCAUUUGAUAACGUAAGAUAUACUUCUACAGGUAGGUGUCACUCCUCCAUUUUAAGCUAUACUGGCCUUAUUUUUCUGGCUCAUGACUUAACUUCGCUUUGAAUUCCGUUUUGAGCUUCUAGGAUAACAUACUCCGGAUGCUCCCUGUUGGCUCACACAUUUGAACAGAAAUGGGCAUUCAUCGCCUAUCUUAAUAGGCCCAUAUCAGAUAUUUGAUUUCAUUAGAAUCUGAGGCUUAGCUGGCAUGAGAACUGCUGUGGACAACAACUAAGGCAGGGGAAACGCAACAGAAAUGGGAAAUGCAACACAAAUAUCAGAACCAUAAAACGAUCCACUUAAAAUGAUACAGUUAAAAAUGAUUGACGAAUAAAUUAAAUUACAAAAUAUCUUCAUGCUUAUAUAGAUUCAUUUAUAUAUACACAGUAUGUUUUUACUUUCU